UCAUGCCACUACACUCCAGCCUGGGUGAUAGAACGAGACUCUGCCCACCAAAAAAUAAAAAGCCAGGAAACACACAUACUCACACCCCUGCAUCCAGACUCACACCAGAGUCACCCACACCCACAUCCAGGCACACACUCACACAAGAACACACACCCGAAGAGACAGAGAGGCGCUCAUUCUUGACAAACUUAUACAGGAUUUUGCAAUCUGAAAAUUCAGAAUAAGGCUAUUUGAAUUCCAGUAUCAAUAUCAGUUUUGUGUCAUUCUGCAAAAUACUGUUUUGUUGUGAAUUGAACAGUGAGGGGCUGGGACAGUGACUGGGGGCAUCACCAUAGUCAAUGCUUAGAGCCUCAAAAGGUUGUAAUCUGGCUCUGGGGAGGAGUGAGGCUGAGCUGAGUCUCCCACGGUCUUUAGAAUGUGUCCUGGCAGGAGGACUGAGAACAGGCUGGUCAGGACUGGAGUCAGCUAAUGGACAGACAGGGACCAGAGACUGUUGCUGGGGGAAAUGCGGCUUUAUGCAAGUAUCUCGGGCUGGGCAGGGGAAUCACCCAGACUGCUUACCCCUCACUCCUCAUGCUCAGCAUGUCAAGGGCCCAAGUCUUCCUUUUCUGUCACUCUCUCUGUCAUUCCUGAAUAGAUAUCACCCUAUAGAUGUCUGAUGUGAAAUUGCAUUGGCAGUAAUAGGACAUGGGUCUGUCCUGGGUGCAGGAUGAAGGCAGGAAGGCUGAUAGAACAGAUUUUUAUGAUCAUACAUCCCACUGGGGUGAAUGCAACAUCAUCCCAUGUUAUAUUGGGGACUAAUUCAGUCCAGCCAUUUCCAGGACCUUUGCUGGGAGGUUGAAGCCUCAGGGCUCAGUGCCAGCUGGCUGGGGUGAGAUUGGGAGCAGUCCAUUAGCCAUGAGUUGCCGAUCUGCAUCUGCACCUGCUCCAGCUGGGCUUUGGCAGCCGUGAUUCCUGAACUGAUGCAUGGCUCUGCUUGCAUGGACCAAGCUUGCAACAUCUUUCCACAAUAAAACCGUGAUGGGAGUUAAUAGUGUGAAUCGCUGUUCAAUUGAACAGGGUCCAUAAAAUGUUUAUGAGGCAUAACCAAGGGGGCUGAAUGGGUGGCCAGCGCUUGGCUUUUGGCCAGGGGUAACACCUGGGGUGUCCCUAGCCAGGGCGAUAUCUUAAGAAUUUCUGAUGUUGUGCACUCAGAUCGACUUCUUUUAGAACUGUUCCAAGGUGUUUAGGAGGUAGACUUAUUCACUUGGGAAGUCUUUCUUUGUUUUUUGUUUUUUUAGAGACAGAAUCUUGCUCUGUCACUCAGAUUGGAGCACAGUGGUGCAAUCAUAGCUCACUGCAGCCUCAAACUCCUGGGCUGACAUGAUCCUCCCACCUCAGCCUUCAGAUUAGCUGGGACUACAGGUGUGGCUGAUUAAAAAUUUUCUUUUUUUGUAGAGACAGGGUUUCACUAUAUUGCUCAGCCUGGUCUUAAACUUCUGGGCUCAAGUGAUCUUUCCAUCUCGGCCUCCCAAAGCACUGGGAUUACAGAUGUGAGCCACCAGCACACCCGGCCAUCAUUUGGGAAUUCUUGCUGGUGGUUAUUAAAUCUGCUAAUGUCCUUAGUUUCUUCUACUAACAUUCAGAGCAUUCUAGUUUCUGGGAGAGUAAGUAGAAACCACCGGAUAUACAAUUGCAUUAGUCAGGAUUACUGUUACUAGUUGCUGCAACUAAAUAGCCUUAAAUCACCACUGGUUUACACAACACAGGCUUAUUCCUUGCUCAUGCUGCAUCUCCAGUGAGAGCCAACAGGAGUGUCUCUCUGCUCCAUAUAGUCACUCAGGGCCCCAGGCUAGAGGAGACAUUACAGAAGACAUGUUGUCUUUGAGAUCUCUAUGGAAGGAAGAGAGGAAUGGAUGAGGCAUGCUGGCCUUAACUGCCUUGACCUGGAGGUAACACAUGUCAUUUUUGUCACAGUCUCUGAGAGAGGAGAAAGAAACCGGACAGGCAGGCAGUUAGAGUGGGUCCUCAGUUGAAUUCUUUCAAACAAAAGAACAGCCUGAAAAAUCAAGCUGCAGGCACAAAUAAGGGAACUUGCACAGGGGGGCUUGCCUGAGACAUGCGCACAGCUCCACAGAUAAAAAAGCCUACACAGGUGACUUGCCUAGACAUGCCCACAAUGGAAAAGUACAUCUCCUGACAAAUGUGCAGUAAGGGGAACAAAGCAAUAUAGAGAACUCAAGCUAAGGGGCUGCAUGUGCAUUAGGAGAAUGGGGUGGGGAGCUACCAGAAGUUUGUGCCUUUAUGCAAAUGAGAUACCCAGCCCUCAUCAGUUUCUUAUAAAAGCCUUUGCAUUCAACUGUAAAAACAGCAACCCAUUUGGGCUCCCUCUCUGCUGCAGAGAGCUUUCUUUCACUUAUUAAACUUUCACUCCUACCUCACCCUAUGUGUCCACGCUCCUUAAUUCUCUUGGUCAUGAGACAAAGAACUCCGACUGACACCUCACAAAGAGAGACUGCUACAUUGUGGUGCAUUGGGGAGACUGCAACAUCUCUGUGUGGAAAAAACAGUGUUUUUUUGAGGCUCUCUCUCUUGCACAGACUGGAGUGCAGUGGCACGAUCUCGGCUCACUGCAACCUCUGCCUCCUAGGUUCAAGGAAUCCUCUCACCUCAGCCUCCCAAGUAGCUGGGAUUACAAAUGUGUGUCACCACACCCAGCUCAUUUUUGUAUUUUUAGUAGGGGUUUCACCAUGUUGGCCAGGCUGGUCUCGAACUCCUGACCUCAAGUGAUCUGCCCAAUUCGGCCUCCCAAAGUGCUGGGAUUACAAGCGUGAGCCACCACACUCAGCCACAAGCUGGUUUUUCUCUGCUCUCACCCCACAACAACCAACACGGAAGACUUCUGUGACCAAAUGUUUAGGGAUUUCUCCCCACUAGCAAACACGUAAUUCAUUCUGCAGCAGAUACUAGCUGGGCAUCCUCUCCUUGGAGACAGCAUCUGAUCCCAUAGGUUGAGAAAUCAGCCCCCAAGACUACUCCCUACUUUGAUGCCAAUCACAAGCCCCAGGUUGUUUUAUCUGUGCUUCUGACUGGUGACUAUAAAUCAGGGUUCCCACAACUCCCUCUUUGGGUUUGCUUAAUUUGCUGGAGUGGCUCACAGAACUCAGGGAAACACUUACAUUUACUGGUUUAUUAUAAAAGAUGUUCCAAAGGCUACAGAGGAAGAGGACUGUGAACCCCGAGCAUUUGAGACAGGUCUCGGUAAAUUUAGAAAGCUUAUUUUACCAAGGUUGAGGAUGCACACCCAUGACACAGCCUCAGGAAGUGCUGACGUCAUGUGCCCAAGGAGGUCGGGGCACAGCUUGGUUUUAUGCAUUUCAGGGAGACGUGAGACAUCAAUCAAUAUAUGUAAGAAGUACAUUGGUUUGGUCUGGAAAGACAGGACAACUUGAAGCAAAGGCUGGAAGACUGCAAGCAGGGAGGAGGCUUCCCGGUCAUAGAGGUGCUGGUUACGUGGGAAUUUGAUUUGUCAAAACUGAUUGAAUGACACAGGAUGUAUUUUGUUUUGCUUGUUAAACAAGUAACUCUACAAAUCGGAAAACGUGCCUUGUCAGUAUACCCCAGGUAUGGAGUUUUCGUUGAUCAAAUAUGGUCCCUGGAGGUCUGUUUAGGGACCAGGCAGGGUUUUUUUUCUAGCACUUUGUAGGAGCAAAGAACCAAGGCCAGGGCUGGGCGCGGUGGCUCACACUUGUAAUCCCAACACUUCAAUGGGAAGACCACUUGAAGCCAGGAGUUUG
rnacentral:lncRNA from 1 species